rnacentral:lncRNA from 1 species
UGCACCCCUCCAAAAAUGAAUAAAAAACACACAAUGACUUUAAAAAAACUACCACAAAAAGAACUCUGGCCGAUAGGAUACAGACCGCCAAUACGGUAUUAGGCGUCUGUUAGACCUAGGUUGUGCGGCACUCAAGGCACACACACGGUCGACUGACUUGAUAGGAGAAUAUUCCAGUCCCCGACCGAGAAAACCCAUUGAACCUUGACUUGGUUUUUUUACCAUUGAACAAUAGUAAGAGGCAAAGGUAUAUAUUAUAGUUAGUUGGUGCAAAUGCACCCCUCCAAAAAUGAAUAAAAAACACACAAUGACUUUAAAAAAACUACCACAAAAAGAACUCUGGCCGAUAGGAUACAGACCGCCAAUACGGUAUUAGGUGUCUGUUAGACCUAGGUUGUGCGGCACUCAAGGCACACACACGGUCGACUGACUUGAUAGGAGAAUAUUCCAGUCCCCGACCGAGAAAACCCAUUGAACCUUGACUUGGUUUUUUUACCCCAUCCUAAAAUUCGUCCCAACCGAGGUUUGAACUCAGAACUUAGGGGUGCUACUGGAGAGAGAGUAAACCAACUGAACUAGCAUCCUUUGGCUAAAAAAAUACCAUAUAUACUAUAACACGAGUCUAUGUACGCACGAGACAAGUAUAUCUUUCUCUAAUUUUACCCUAACUUUGUCACUGAUACAAGGACAAUAUGUCGUGGUGAUACUGGUACGCUCAGUUGUUCCUUGUCUAGUGUUGCCAUGCCAUUGCCAUGUGAGCAUGUCCUUACCAAUUUUUAGACGAC